rnacentral:rRNA from 1 species
AUUGAACGCUGGCGGUAGGCCUAACACAUGCAAGUCGAACGCGAAAGUCCUUCGGGAUGAGUAGAGUGGCGGACGGGUGAGUAACGCGUAGGAAUCUAUCCUGUAGUGGGGGAUAACGUUUCGAAAGGAACGCUAAUACCGCAUACGCCCCAAGGGGGAAAGCGGGGGAUCUUCGGACCUCGUGCUAUAGGAGGAGCCUGCGUCGGAUUAGCUAGUUGGUGAGGUAAAGGCUCACCAAGGCGACGAUCCGUAGCUGGUCUGAGAGGAUGAUCAGCCACACCGGAACUGAGACACGGUCCGGACUCCUACGGGAGGCAGCAGUGGGGAAUAUUGCGCAAUGGGCGAAAGCCUGACGCAGCCAUACCGCGUGUGUGAAGAAGGCCUUCGGGUUGUAAAGCACUUUCAGCGGGGAGGAAAAGCUGGUGGCUAAUAUCCAUCGGCCGUGACGCUACCCACAGAAGAAGCACCGGCUAAUUCCGUGCCAGCCGCCGCGGUAAAAC